CAUGUUCAUCGAUACUCAAUCGCCUAUAAAAUCCUUCCUCAUUUCCUCCAUUUACACUCACAAAUUAAAUACAAAGAAGUCUCUUCUAUAGAAUCAUGGUUAUUAGUUAGGAAGCCAUUGAUGCCACGAGUGACACUAUGGCUGAACUAUUUGGUCGGAUGAUGGAGCUGGGUACAAUGGUAAAACGAUUAAUAUAGAUAAGAGGGUGCUUCACAUAUUUGUCAUGGCUUUUGGCUAAAAUAUAUUAUCACAUAAAGGUGUAUAGUAUAUAUUAGAUACGCUUGACAAUUGUGUUUUAAAAAUCGGUACCCACCCAAAAUCCGUUUAAUUUGGGCUUUCAGGCGAGUAAAGAUCAGUCAACAUGGGUAACUGGCAGGCACGGGCAACGGUACCUUUCUAAAACAGGUAACGAAUGGGGAUGGGUUUGAUAGUAUCCAUCCGAUGGAUACCCGCUAUAUAUAUUGUGUCGUUUAUAGUUCAUCAAAACUCUACCCUCUUCUUCUUCUAUUUUUACGAAAGCUUAUUCAAACUAUUUAGAUUAUAUGGUUUAUUGUUUAUGUUGGAUCCUUUUAUUGUUAUUGAUUACGAUCCAUAUUUUUGUUAGUAUGAGCAAUUAUAUUUCGAUUAUUCUACAAUCUUCAAAUCGAAAAAUGAAUAAUUUACUUUAUAAUUGAGAAUUACCCGACUAAACGGAUAUAUCUGAAACACGCAAACUAAUGAGCACGAGUUAAAAGUUACACUCAUUUAUACAAACAGAUAGGUACGAGUAAAACCCAACAACUAAACAGAUGAAUACAAAUAAAAUCCAUAACCAAUUGUUGCUAUCUUAAUAUAAGAAGAUAUUUCCAUUCCUAAGGUAUGGAAUUCGAAUCCCCUUGUACGGUUGUUUUCAUGGAUUUAGCUUCAAUUAUAUUCAAUUAAAUUAAAGCAAUGAGUAUAUAUAAUAUAUAAGAAUGAAUUGUAGCAGACCUGGAUUCAAAUCCCAUUAUUUUAUUUAGAUUUUACAAAAAUUCAGAUUAAGGAAGGUUAUCAGUGGAAAUAAGCUGUAAGCAACUCUUCUCCUUGACAAAGUCAUCAACAAUACAGUUUCGAAAAAAUCCCAACACUAAUCAAAGCGUUAGACAUGGUUUCAGCGAUCAGAGAGCCGUUGGAACAACAUUCCACAAUCUUCAAUGGCAGUUGUCUACAAUAAAAUCGGCACCUGCAAACAGAAAAGGAAAGCAAAGGUACAAAAUUAUGUAUAGGAUUGAACAAAUUUCAUGCUGUGAUUUAACUCCAAUCCCGUGGUUUGAGAAGAGAUGAAGCUGAUGACAACAUAACAAUCUCAGACUCAUGGAGAUAGAGCUAUGGAGUACAUAGUUUAACACUCAGAAUGAACAUCAACGUGGAAACAAUCUAACAGAAAGUCAUCGCCUCACUAGAAUCCAUUGACAUCCAUGUAAUGCAGCUUCCACCAAGUAGGUUCACCCUGAUGAACAGGGUCUUGGUUCCACUACACCUCAAUUAGUUGGAUUGAAUCAUCAUCAGGAGUAAAAGAAAUUUUACAAACAAGUAAAAUGUAGGCACUGAAUGCUCAGAUUAUAAUACAGCUGUUAUAGAAUCUCAUCACAGCUUAGUUAAUAAGAUGUAAACACAGAUUCAUAAAAUACAGAUAUUACUACAAUCAAUGUCUAAUCCAGAGUUCUACAAAUACAAUAAUGUAGUGUCCAAAUGGAGCAGAUGAGAAGACUAUAUAAACAUCUACAUCUGUAACGAUAGGACACAUUUGCUUUCCCAGACGUGUAACUGCGUCGAUCCACAGAAAUAAGGAUGACACCUGACUUAGUCUGGAAAUUAUCUUAUCCUAGAAAUGCAUAAUGUUGAUCAAGAACAUCGAACCUGCAAAAGGUCAUUUGGACGAAGGAUAACCAAACAAUAAUGAACACCAAAAUGAAGAAUUGGUGUAGUUUGUAGCAAAUUUUGUGCUGUUAUUUAACUCCUAUGCCGUGAUUAACAAGAGAUGAAGCUGAUGACAACACCUCACUUUCUGAGUAUUUUCAGACGCUACAGCCAUGGAGAUAGAGCUAUAGAGUAUAGUUAAAACUCAGAAACAAUACAAACUUAAACAAAGGUACCAUCUUUAUGCAUCAAUACGACUCUAUUAACAAGAAUUUUGAAAUAAUAAUCGCCUCAGUCAAAUCCGAUUGCAUCCAAGUAAUGUAGCUUCCGCCAAGUAGGUUCACCCUGAUGAACAGGGUCUUGGCUCCACUACACCUCAACCAAUUGGAUCGUAUCAUCAUCAGCAAUUUCCAAUUUGAAUUCUUACAAAAUCAAAUCAAUACACACUUGAAAACAGAAGAUGCAGCGAAAAGACGACACCUUUCCAAAUUUUCAAGAACACUCAAAACACAAAUGGUCUUCGACGCUCAGAUGAUUAUACAGCUUUAUCAGUCACGGUAAAUCAGAAGCAGAACUGGCAUUAAGCUGUUGUAGAAUCUCAUCACAGCCAAAGAUAUUCAAAAGGUACGUAAAGAACACAAAUUUUGAGUACAGUGAGGCUCAUAUUAAGAAAUUCAACCAUAUUUUUCCGUUUACUUCACCGAUAACUCUCAGAAGCGCAGAUAAUUGUCAAAUCAUCGCCAUGAAACAAACAAAAACUCAAUGAAAGGAAGAUCAGAGACUUAGCUGAUGUACUUAGAGGCAGAAAUAUCGAAAAAAUUUAAGACAUACACCCACGUUUCAAUUGCCUGGAAUUCAAUUUCUGCUCUCUUUGACUAACUUUGAUUUCCAUUCUUAUUGAAUUGUGAGAACCAGCUAAAGGUGUUAGAGGCAAUCGAAAACAAAAAUUAGAUGCGAGUAUGUAGCCGUCGACUUGACACAGAAGAGCCAUAAGAGAUAAAGGUACAAAGGCCAGACUGCAACACUUGAAGGCUAGUGCUUUAGCACGAGCAAUGGGGCUUUCACAGUCACCGGAACAACGGAGCUCCUCAGCGAAGCCCGGGGUUGCGUCGUGCAAAAAAACAGUUAUAAGAUCGAAUGGAAGAGAGAAAGCAACAUUGCGAUCGCCAUGGAUGAGGAACUGCUACUGAUGAUGGAAUGAGCUGAGCUUACAGUGUUAUUAUAUAGAGCUGGUCGUCAAAACCCUACUGAAAAGAACGGCGGAAAUGAAACCCUAGCUAGGUCAGAAACUGGGCUUCCCCUGAGACGUUUGGUUGGUAAGGAACUAAGCAGGCCCAGUGUUAUUUGAGAUUUCAAACCGGAAGGCAGCAACUUUCAGUUUUGAUCCACUAAUUCCGAUUGUUGUUGACGAGUGGAGCUGAGCUUUUAUCCAGGUCGGGUUCGGUUCAUUUGUUUUUAUGCUCGAUUACAAAUUUUGAAGCUUGGUCUCGAUUCUAAAUUACCAUUAAUGGGCUACCUCGAGAAGCAUAAAAAGAGCUCGUCUUAAUAAUUAGAAUAAGCUAGGCUCGAUAACCAUAAUGGGCUUGCCUUGAU
rnacentral:lncRNA from 1 species